UCCCGUACAACCUACGUACUCCUUCCGUCCAACAAAAAUUGUCUCAAAUUUGUUAAAAUUUGGAUGUAUCUAGACAUGACUUAGUGUAUAGAUCAAUAGAUGCAUUCAAAUUUGAUCAAAGUUGAGACAUUUUUUGUUGGAAAGGGAGAGUAUCACAUUUUGUCAUCCGGUCACACUGUGUGAUGCUCUGUGAUGUCUGGGGUGACAGUUCAGUUCUGUGUGCCAGGUUGCACUCUGCUCAUCUGCUGGCAUACCCCAGGCUCAGAUAUAAAGCUAACACAAAGCUAGUGGAUCAGCAAACUCACAAUUCUUCUCUCAAGGUCUAGCCACUACAGCCCCAACCGUAGUGUAUAUGCGCGCCGCCGGUAGAAGGAAAAGCUUAUUGGCUGCAGAUGGGUAAUUUCUUGCGUCUCUGGUGAUCGAGCAGGGUACAGCUUUCUUGCGGGAAGAUAAAGAGAAGAUCAUUCAUGACCACUUCCGUGCUUCUUUGCUUCUUUGGGUAUGGCUUUCCUGUGGGGGUCGGCUCUGUAACUGGGAGGUCCUAUUUCUCUUAUUACAGUACAUGUUUCACUUGUCCUCUAGCUGUAUCAUGGAGGAGAGGGCUACCCUACUGGACAUCAGGUCUUCCCUGACGAGAGCACGGUCUUCCCAAUUCGGAGCACCAGUCCUGACGGCGCCUGUUCGUAUGAAUUGGCAAAUUCAGAGGAUGAUGCUUGGUAACUUGACGGUGUUUUCUGCAUUCCAUGAGCUUUUGUACCUGGAUCUAUCAUACAACAAGCCCUGUUCGCUAAGCUGCUUCGAAGUGCACCUACCAAUGGCCAAUGGGCAAUGGGGACGACCUCGAUGAGUACCUGAAGCGGUGGAGGCCAUGGCGUCACCAGCAGCAGUUUCAUCUUUUACCCUAGCUCUUUUUUUUCGGCCUAGAUUUCACAGUUCAUGGAUUAGUUUGGUUUCGUUUACUGCUAUAGACCAUGGAGGGUUGAGAUAAGCCAUGUCAAGUCAAGUCACCAUUAAUUUGAUGGUUGCAAAAGAAACCACCGAUUGCUGUUGAUGGUCUGAUCGAGUUUUUGCUCCACUUGAUCUGAUCGAGUUCUGAUUUGUUAUUUCUCCCAUUAUUCUUGGCUUUAUGUAGAGAUUUGUUGUCAAAGCCGUGCAGCAUGCCUACUAUC